AUUGAACGCUGGCGGAAUGCUUUACACAUGCAAGUCGAACGGUAACAGGUCUUCGGAUGCUGACGAGUGGCGAACGGGUGAGUAAUACAUCGGAACGUGCCCGAGAGUGGGGGAUAACGAGGCGAAAGCUUUGCUAAUACCGCAUACGAUCUCAGGAUGAAAGCAGGGGACCGCAAGGCCUUGCGCUCACGGAGCGGCCGAUGGCAGAUUAGGUAGUGGGUGGGAUAAAAGCUUACCAAGCCGACGAUCUGUAGCUGGUCUGAGAGGACGACCAGCCACACUGGGACUGAGACACGGCCCAGACUCCUACGGGAGGAAGCAGUGGGGAAUUUUGGACAAUGGGCGCAAGCCUGAUCCAGCCAUGCCGCGUGCAGGAUGAAGGCCUUCGGGUUGUAAACUGCUUUUGUACGGAACGAAAAGACUCUGGUUAAUACCUGGGGUCCAUGACGGUACCGUAAGAAUAAGCACCGGCUGACUACGUGCCAGCCGCCGCCGUAAGAC
rnacentral:rRNA from 1 species